rnacentral:rRNA from 1 species
AUUGAACGCUGGCGGCAUGCUUUACACAUGCAAGUCGAACGGUAACAGGGAGCUUGCUCCGCUGACGAGUGGCGAACGGGUGAGUAAUGCGUCGGAACGUGCCGAGUAGUGGGGGAUAACGCCUCGAAAGGUGUGCUAAUACCGCAUACGAACUGAGGUUGAAAGUGGGGGACCUUCGGGCCUCACGCUAUUCGAGCGGCCGACGUCUGAUUAGCUAGUUGGUGAGGUAAAGGCUCACCAAGGCGACGAUCAGUAGCGGGUCUGAGAGGAUGAUCCGCCACACUGGGACUGAGACACGGCCCAGACUCCUACGGGAGGCAGCAGUGGGGAAUUUUGGACAAUGGGCGCAAGCCUGAUCCAGCCAUGCCGCGUGUCUGAAGAAGGCCUUCGGGUUGUAAAGGACUUUUGUCCGGGAGCAAAUGCUGGUGGCUAACAUCCACCGGAGCUGAGAGUACCGGAAGAAUAAGCACCGGCUAACUACGUGCCAGCCGCCGCCGUAAUAC